UUUGGCUGGUGAAAGGGAGGAGAGCUGUGCCAGUUGUGAGUGUACAGCAAAGGCAAAGAGAAGAAACUCACUCAGGCAGCAGUGGGAGCUGGACUUGUUCGUGGAAUAUACAGCAGAAACACAACACGGAGGUGCAGAUACAGUACAGUAUCCAAUGGUGCCAUGGCUUCAAGGAGCCAGAGUAGUGUGGGAUGCAGAGCGCUCCCAAUGGGUGUGCUUUCCUCCACCUUCCAGCUCCUUUUCAUUUUCUGUGGUCUUUUACUUGAUGCCCAGGGUCAAGGUGUUCUAUUGGAUUGAGAUCUGGUGCCUGUGGAGGCCACUGAAGUACAUCCUUGUCAAACUCCUUGUCAUGUUCAUGAGUCCAGACUGAGAUGACAUGUACUUUGUGACAUGGUGCAUUAACAUGCUUGAAGUAGCCAACUGAAAAUGGGUAAAUUGUGGCCAUUGAGGGAUGCACGUGUUCAGCAACAAUACUCAGAUAUACUCAGCCAUUCAAACCACGAUUGACUGGUCCAGAGUGUGCCAAGAAAACUUUUCCCUCACCAGCCUGGACUGUUGGCACAAAGCAGGUUGGGUCCAUGGACUCAUGCUUCGGAGGCCAAAUUC